GACGAACGCUGGCGGCGUGCCUAAUACAUGCAAGUCGAACGGAAAGGCCCUGCUGUUGCUGGGUGCACGAUUGGCGAACGGGUGAGUAACACGUGGUUAACCGGCGCUUGACUGCCUGAUAACUUCGGGAAACUGGGGCUAAUACCAGAUAGUAGCUCAUGAUGCUUGUUGGUGGUUGGUAAGUUUCGGCGGUUGGGGAUGGACUCGCGGCUUAUCAGCCUGUUGGUGGGGUAGUGGCUUACCAAGGCUUUGGCGGGUAGCCGGCCUGAGAGGGUGACCGGCCCCAUGGGGACUGAGGUAGGGCCAAGACUGAUACGUGAGGAAUCGGUGGAGAACAUUGCGCACUGGGCGGAAGCCUGAUGCAGCAACUCCGCGUGCGGGAUGACGGCUUUCGGGUUGUAAACCGCUUUGGACUGUGACGAAGAGUGAGUGACGGUAAUGUGUAAAGAAGCAACGGCUAACUACGUG
rnacentral:rRNA from 1 species